rnacentral:rRNA from 1 species
AUGAUCUUGAACUCGUCGAAGCUGAGCACGCCGUCCCCGUCGAGGUCGAACCGGCAGAUCAUGGCACGGCACUCGCCCGCGCCCCGCUCGGCCCCGAGCCUGCCGAGCAUCCGCCCGAGGCUGGCCGGCGUGAUGCACCCCUGCCCCUCCAUCUCGUACAUUCCGAACGCCUCCCUCAGCGCCCGGAUCCUCAGCUCGUCGUUCUCCUUGUCCGCACCCGCCCAGGCCGCCUGCUGCGCCAGCUCGAGGAACUCGGCCUCGCAUAGCAGCCCGUCGCCGUCCGCGUCUGCCGACGCCACCAGAGCCUCGGCCUCCUCUGCCGGCACGUCCUCGCCCAGCGUCGCCCGCAUGCACCCCCGCAGCUCCACGGCCGAGAUCCUGCCGUCCGCGUCCCGGUCCAGUGACAAGAACAGCGCCCUCAGCUCGCCCGUCUUUGUCGCAACCAUUCUCGCCGGAUGCUUUAGUAGUUGA